rnacentral:rRNA from 1 species
CACGUAGGGGGCAAGCGUUGUCCGGAUUUAUUGGGCGUAAAGAGCUACGUAGGCGGCUUAGUAAGUCGGGUGUGAAACCUCCAGGCUCAACCUGGAGACGCCACCCGAUACUGCUGUGGCUAGAGUCCGGUAGGGGAGCGUGGAAUUCCUGGUGUAGCGGUGAAAUGCGCAGAUAUCAGGAGGAACACCUAUUGCGAAGGCAGCUCGCUGGGACGUAACUGACGCUGAGACGCGAAAGCGUGGGGAGCAAACAGG